rnacentral:pre_miRNA from 1 species
UUAACUCAAACUUGUAUGGAGUUGGAACGUUCGCCUACGUUUGCCAUUAGAGACGUGGUCACAACUGCGUACAAAUUUGAGUUA